AAAUUGAAGAGUUUGAUCAUGGCUCAGAUUGAACGCUGGCGGCAGGCCUAACACAUGCAAGUCGAACGGUAGCACAGAGAGCUUGCUCUCGGGUGACGAGUGGCGGACGGGUGAGUAAUGUCUGGGAAACUGCCUGAUGGAGGGGGAUAACUACUGGAAACGGUGGCUAAUACCGCAUAACGUCGCAAGACCAAAGAGGGGGACCUUCGGGCCUCUUGCCAUCA
rnacentral:rRNA from 3 species